CCUACGGGUGGCAGCAGUGAGGAAUAUUGGUCAAUGGGCGCGAGCCUGAACCAGCCAAGUAGCGUGAAGGAUGACUGCCCUACGGGUUGUAAACUUCUGUUAUCAAGGACUAAAGUGAGGCACGUGUGCCUUUUUGUAUGUACUUUAUUAAUAAGGAUCGGCUAACUCCGUGCCAGCAGACGCGGGAAUACGGAGGUUCCGAGCGUUAGCCGGAUUUAUUGGGUUUAAAGGGAGCGUAGAUGGGUUGUUAAGUGAGUUGUGAAAGUUUGCGGCUCAACCGUAAAAUUGCAAUUGAUACUGGCAGUCUUGAGGACAGUUGAGGGAGGCGGAAUUCGUGGUGUAGCGGUGAAAUGCUU
rnacentral:rRNA from 1 species